rnacentral:lncRNA from 1 species
GAGAAACUAUAUAUAAGAAAAGAUAACAAAUGUCGCUUUACAAAUGUAGAAAAUAUUGGUUUGAAAGCAGCUUGUCUCACUAUCUUAACUCCAAUGUUCUCAGUUUGAGAAACUCUCUAUCACUUUCUAUUGAUUUUGUAGCUUAGUCUCUUACAGGAUUUAGGUGUACACACGGUCUUUUUGUACACAUUGAUAAUGUAAAUUUAGCGUACAUGUGAACAUACAUGAACAAUAGAAAUUACGAGAGAGUAGACCAUUGUUGAUUGAGCUUUCUCUUUGCGAAUGCGAUUGGAACUUGACGGCGACGACGAGUGUAGCGGCUCAGGCAGGUGGCCUCGCGGUUUGAUACUACAGGCAAAUAUGCUCGUCAUGGUUUGAGAUUGUGAGUCAAUCAAAAUUGCCGGAAUAAAACAGUCACGAUUCUCGCCGGUAGUGGUCUUGGUGGAUGAAUUUCUUGAUUUUCAUAUUUUGUUCCAUGGUGGAUGUCGGGUCUUCUGCAUCGUCUUUGCUGUCGAAAUUGCUCCACCGUCGUCUAUGUCUUUGUCGUUGCUACGCCAGAGUUCUAUGCCGUUGAUGACGUUUUCGUAUAUGUCAUCAUUAUAAAACCAUUAUCGGAGAUGUACCUUGACCUAUCUUAAAAGAUAGAUUGAACAACAUAGACAAUAAUUAUAUGCAAGUUUUUUUGAAAAAAUAAUCUGAAAAAUCAGAUUCCAAUUUAGAAAAG